rnacentral:rRNA from 1 species
GAUGAACGCUAGCGACAGGCUUAACACAUGCAAGUCGAGGGGCAGCACAGGUAGCAAUACCGGGUGGCGACCGGCGCACGGGUGAGUAACGCGUAUGCAACUUACCUAUCAGAGGGGGAUAACCCGGCGAAAGUCGGACUAAUACCGCAUGAAGCAGGGGUCCCGCAUGGGGAUAUUUGCUAAAGAUUCAUCGCUGAUAGAUAGGCAUGCGUUCCAUUAGGCAGUUGGCGGGGUAACGGCCCACCAAACCGACGAUGGAUAGGGGUUCUGAGAGGAAGGUCCCCCACAUUGGUACUGAGACACGGACCAAACUCCUACGGGAGGCAGCAGUGAGGAAUAUUGGUCAAUGGGCGUAAGCCUGAACCAGCCAAGUCGCGUGAGGGAUGAAGGUUCUAUGGAUCGUAAACCUCUUUUAUAAGGGAAUAAAGUGCGGGACGUGUCCCGUUUUGUAUGUACCUUAUGAAUAAGGAUCGGCUAACUCCGUGCCAGCAGCCGCGGUAAUACGGAGGAUUCGAGCGUUAUCCGGAUUUAUUGGGUUUAAAGGGUGCGUAGGCGGCCUUUUAAGUCAGCGGUGAAAGUCUGUGGCUCAACCAUAGAAUUGCCGUUGAAACUGGGGGGCUUGAGUAUGUUUGAGGCAGGCGGAAUGCGUGGUGUAGCGGUGAAAUGCUUAGAUAUCACGCGGAACCCCGAUUGCGAAGGCAGCCUGCCAAGCCAUGACUGACGCUGAUGCACGAAAGCGUGGGGAUCAAACAGGAUUAGAUACCCUGGUAGUCCACGCAGUAAACGAUGAUCACUAGCUGUUUGCGAUACAGUGUAAGCGGCACAGCGAAAGCGUUAAGUGAUCCACCUGGGGAGUACGCCGGCAACGGUGAAACUCAAAGGAAUUGACGGGGGCCCGCACAAGCGGAGGAACAUGUGGUUUAAUUCGAUGAUACGCGAGGAACCUUACCCGGGUUUGAACGCAUUCGGACCGAGGUGGAAACACCUUUUCUAGCAAUAGCCGUUUGCGAGGUGCUGCAUGGUUGUCGUCAGCUCGUGCCGUGAGGUGUCGGCUUAAGUGCCAUAACGAGCGCAACCCUUGCCACUAGUUACUAACAGGUGAUGCUGAGGACUCUGGUGGGACUGCCAGCGUAAGCUGCGAGGAAGGCGGGGAUGACGUCAAAUCAGCACGGCCCUUACAUCCGGGGCGACACACGUGUUACAAUGGCGUGGACAAAGGGAAGCCACCUGGCGACAGGGAGCGAAUCCCCAAACCACGUCUCAGUUCGGAUCGGAGUCUGCAACCCGACUCCGUGAAGCUGGAUUCGCUAGUAAUCGCGCAUCAGCCAUGGCGCGGUGAAUACGUUCCCGGGCCU